ACGCACGCUGGCGGCGUGCUUCACCCCUGCCAGUCGCACGCAAAUACCAAGCUUGCUUGGUUGAUUAGUGGCGAACGGGUGAGUAACACGUGAGUAACCUGCCCCUUACUUUCCUGGAUAACUGCUCGAAAGGGUAGCUAAUACGGGAUAUUCUGACCAGCCUGCAUGGGUUGGUUUGGAAAGGUUGUUUUUCUGGUAAGGGAUGGGCUCGCGGCCUAUCAGCUUGUUGGUGGGGUGAUGGCCUACCAAGGCUUUGACGGGUAGCCGGCCUGAGAGGGUGGACGGUCACACUGGGACUGAGAUACGGCCCAGACUCCUACGGGAGGCAGCAGUGGGGAAUAUUGCACAAUGGGCGCAAGCCUGAUGCAGCGACGCCGCGUGAGGGAUGAAGGCCUUCGGGUUGUAAACCUCUUUCGUCAGGGAACAAGGCACUGCUUUUUUGGUGGUGUUGAGGGUACCUGGAUAAGAAGCGCCGGCUGACUACGUG
rnacentral:rRNA from 1 species